GGGAUGAUUGCUGGGUUGUAUAAUAAAUUUAUGUUUAUUUUGUAAGAAACUGCCAAAGUGUCUUCCAAAGUGGCUGCAUGUUCCAUUCCCACUAGCAAU
rnacentral:pre_miRNA from 1 species